GACAGAGGUCCCGAGCGUUAGGCGGAAUCACUGGGCUUAAAGCGUGUGUAGGCGGAUUUGUAAGUACCUUGUGAAAUCCCACGGCUCAACCGUGGAACUGCUUGGUAUACUGCUUAUCUUGGGCCACUUAGGGGUUACCGGAACAAACGGUGGAGCGGUGAAAUGCGUUGAUAUCGGAAGGAACGCCGGCGGCGAAAGCGGCUUGCUGGACCUCAUCUGACGCUGAGACGCGAAAGCCAGGGGAGCGAACGGG
rnacentral:rRNA from 1 species